rnacentral:rRNA from 1 species
AGAGUUUGAUCAUGGCUCAGGAUGAACGCUGGCGGCGUGCUUAACACAUGCAAGUCGAACGAAGCACUUAACUUGAUCUUCUUCGGAACUGAUUGUUUUGUGACUGAGUGGCGGACGGGUGAGUAACGCGUGGGUAACCUGCCUCACACAGGGGGACAACAGCUGGAAACGGCUGCUAAUACCGCAUAAGCGCACAGUACCGCAUGGUACAGUGUGAAAAACUCCGGUGGUGUGAGAUGGACCCGCGUCUGAUUAGCUGGUUGGCAGGGUAACGGCCUACCAAGGCGACGAUCAGUAGCCGACCUGAGAGGGUGACCGGCCACAUUGGGACUGAGACACGGCCCAAACUCCUACGGGAGGCAGCAGUGGGGAAUAUUGCACAAUGGGCGAAAGCCUGAUGCAGCGACGCCGCGUGAGCGAAGAAGUAUUUCGGUAUGUAAAGCUCUAUCAGCAGGGAAGAAAAUGACGGUACCUGACUAAGAAGCUCCGGCUAAAUACGUGCCAGCAGCCGCGGUAAUACGUAUGGAGCAAGCGUUAUCCGGAUUUACUGGGUGUAAAGGGAGCGUAGGCGGCAGGGCAAGUCUGAUGUGAAAACCCAGGGCUCAACCUUGGGACUGCAUUGGAAACUGUUCAGCUGGAGUGUCGGAGAGGCAAGCGGAAUUCCUAGUGUAGCGGUGAAAUGCGUAGAUAUUAGGAGGAACACCAGUGGCGAAGGCGGCUUGCUGGACGAUGACUGACGCUGAGGCUCGAAAGCGUGGGGAGCAAACAGGAUUAGAUACCCUGGUAGUCCACGCCGUAAA